GGGAGAUUCCAGAGAGCAGCAGGGCUGAGAGACCUUGGCAGCCCAGCAAUCGGUGCCUAGCUGCCGUGGAGCCUCCAGUUCUGCGCCUACAUCACUUCUGGCUUUUUGAACAUCUAGGAAACUUUUAUUUUUUAAACAAAAAUUCCCAUCUCCUGGCAGAUUGAAGUGAGUUUCUAUUCACUGAGCCUUGAUGGAGACAGAUGUGUAUAACCUGAAACGACCAGCAGUGGAGGACACCAGUAUAGACUGGACAUGGACCCGCAGACUUGGCAGGAGGCUGGCCAGUGUUUCUGCAGUCUUAGACUCUUCCUGGGCUAUAACAAAAUACACAAGAAGAGAUGGUUUGUAAACAACAGAAAUUUAUUUCUCACAAUCUGGAUGAUGGGAGUCCAAGGCCACGGAGGGCAGAGUUGGUGCUGCAAUUGCCUUCACAGUUGCCUGAAAUAA
rnacentral:lncRNA from 1 species